UCCCUGGUGGUCCAGUGGUUAGAACUCUGCACUGUCACUGCUGAGGGCACAGGUUCAAUUCCUGGUCAGGGAA